AUUCCAGCUCCAAUAGCGUAUAUUAAGGUUGUUGCAGUUAAAAAGCUCGUAGUUGGACUUCUGGGCCAUCCUGUUGGUCUGCCGCAAGGCUGUACUAGCUGGUUGGCCCAUCCUCUCGAAGGCUGGGGGUGCUCUUAACUGGGUGCUUUCAGAACUCGGGAUCUUUAUUUUGAAAAAAUUAGAGUGUUCAAAGCAGGCUUACGCUUGAAUACAUUAGCAUGGAAUAAUGGAAUAGGACUUUGGUUCUAUUUUGUUGGUUUCUAGAACUGAAGUAAUGAUUAAUAGGGAUAGUUGGGGGCAUUAGUAUUUAAUUGUCAGAGGUGAAAUUCUUGGAUUUAUGAAAGACUAACUUCUGCGAAAGCAUUUGCCAAGGAUGUUUUCAUCG
rnacentral:rRNA from 1 species